rnacentral:tRNA from 1 species
GCGGAUGUAGCUCAGUUGGUAGAGCGCCGGUUUGUGGUACCGGUUGUCGCGGGUUCGAGCCCCGUCAUUCGCCCCA